GGCUCACUGGUCAAACGGUUAAGACGCCGCCUUCUCAGGGCGGAAUUGCAUGGUUCAAAUCCUGCGUGAGUCACCA
rnacentral:tRNA from 3 species